rnacentral:rRNA from 1 species
UUUUGGACAAUGGGGGCGACCCUGAUCCAGCAAUGCCGCGUGCAGGAAGAAGGCCUUCGGGUUGUAAACUGCUUUUGUCAGGGAAGAGAUCCUGUGGGUUAAUACCUCGUGGGGAUGACGGUACCUGAAGAAUAAGCACCGGCUAACUACGUGCCAGCAGCCGCGGUAAUACGUAGGGUGCGAGCGUUAAUCGGAAUUACUGGGCGUAAAGCGUGCGCAGGCGGUUUUGUAAGACAGAGGUGAAAUCCCCGGGCUCAACCUGGGAACUGCCUUUGUGACUGCAAGGCUGGAGUACGGCAGAGGGGGAUGGAAUUCCGCGUGUAGCAGUGAAAUGCGUAGAUAUGCGGAGGAACACCGAUGGCGAAGGCAAUCCCCUGGGCCUGUACUGACGCUCAUGCACGAA